UAGUACGAAAAACUUUCGAGUUCAAGACGAGGACGAAUUUUUGUACGUUUCGAGUUCGAACUCGAAACGUUCAUUCUUGUUUUAUUAAGGAUCGUACUCGUUAGCUUAACUUUCUAAUUUCUUUCGUCGGCACGCAAGGCCAAGAAGCUUCUUUCGACGAGUCAUAGAGUAUUUUACAAGUUUUUUUUUUAUUUAACAUGGAAUGGUGUGUUCCGUCCGAAACAUGCUGCGUUAUUUUAAGAUGUUGUUAUUAAAUUUAAAAAAAUAAGUUACAAAGAUGAAUAAUGCUCAUAACGCCUCAUUAAUUGUUUAUACGUUUUUGUGUUAUUGUUUGUUUAAUAUGUAAGUAUUUAAAACCAUUAUUAUUUAUUACCAAUCAAUAUUUAUAUUGUUGGGUAAACAAAUUUCGGAACAUCUUUCAUCUUGUUAAUGUAGCUGGCAAGCAAAGCGGCGUUAUGAAUAAAUUUAAGUUGCUAUAGAAACAAUGUUCUGUUGAUUGUCACUUGUGUCAUAGAAAAUAAAAAGAGCUAUCCAUUGUGUAUUCCUACUGUUGUAAUAAAUUAAUUUCGUGGACAAAUCUAUCUUCUAUUUUUCUACUGUAAAAUCACACUCAGCCACACGCUCACACACGUCUGACAUUGAAAAGACAGGGAUUUUUCUUGUUUUGACGUAUUUUCUAACCUCUUAGAAUGUUAUUAGAAGUCGUAAUAAAAUAAUUUGAAUAUAAAGCUAUGUUUUAAAGUAAAUAAAGACCAUUUAACGAUGUUAACAUGAUGAGACAUCGAUUUUAUGGAAUGGAGGAGAAGAUUUAACAGCUAGAAAUUAACAAAAAUCCUGCAAGAGCAUCGAGAUCUCGCUUUUGGCGAGUGGAAGUCCAAAGGCAAAGUGCAGCGGUUUGCAGUUCUUAGCCUCACUUUUUUGGACCUAACAAGACAGGAAAAGAAUAGUCAAAGAGGAAACCCGAGUAGCCAGAUGAUAAUAUAUGAAACCAUGAGCAGCCAGCCAUUGAAACUCUCAGCAAUUUGAAUAACAAUUUUGAUUGAUUACCAAUCAUGUAUCAUACCUAUUAAUAGAAAAUUAAAACUGUUAGGUACCUAUGUUUUAAUUGAAAUUCAAAAUAUUGUUUAAUGUUUUAUAAGUAUUUAUUAAAUAAAUUGUCACACAUAUAUUUUGUUUUAAUCCCAUUAAUGUCUAUUUGCCCGCAAGUGUUGAUGGUAUUUCUUAAGUGUGCCUAGGAACCUUAGUCCUAUUACUUAUUCUGUGCCGGAGCUGGAUCUUUGUAAGGUUUGGGUAGGGUAGGUACCUGUAAUGAUUAAUAAAUGUUGAUGAGUAGAAUACUAUAACAUUAAUUUUAUAGUUAUUAGUUUAGGUAAAUAAGUUUAUUAAGAUCUAAAACUUUCUGGCUAAAACACUUACGAGCAAAGGUAUGGAAUCACCCUGUUGUGUUUUGUUCUGUAUGAUCUUAAGAACUGAAUGCAUAUGACAUUUGUAUAAAAUAGUUCAUGGAUAAAUCUUAUGUAGGCAUGAGUACCUACCUACUUCUCCGAGUAUGUUGGGGGUAUUGAGAGCAUUGGUUAAGUAAUUCCAAAUGCUUCUUCAUACCAUCAGUGCCUUGGUAUGAACUGGAUGCAUCUUAAUGCAUAGCACAUAAUAUAACCUGUAAUAAUUAUUAUCUAUCAAAUGACAAAGAAAUCAUGUGGUAUGUAGAGUAGACAGAAUGUAUGAAUAAAUUAUGUACUUGCCUUGUGUUCCAAGGACACUCUUUUUGUUGCCAUAAGACUAUCUUUCCGGCAAUUUGUCACAUAAGUAGGUAUCUUACAGGGCAGAUAUGUACCAUCCUAGACUGCAUCCCUCUUAACAUCAUGUGCGAUU